rnacentral:rRNA from 1 species
UACGAAGGGGGCUAGCGUUACUCGGAUUGACUGGGCGUAAAGGGCGCGUAGGCGGUUUGUACAGUCAGACGUGAAAUUCCUGGGCUCAACCUGGGGGCUGCGUUUGAUACGUGCAGACUUGAGUUCGGAAGAGGGUCGUGGAAUUCCCAGUGUAGAGGUGAAAUUCGUAUGAUAUUGGGAAGAACACCGGUGGCGAAGGCGGCGACCUGGUCCGGUUCUGACGCUGAGGCGCGAAAGCGUGGGUAGCAAACAGG